UACGGAGGGUGCAAGCGUUAUCCGGAAUCACUGGGUUUAAAGGGUGCGUAGGCGGGUUAUUAAGUCAGUGGUGAAAGCCUACAGCUUAACUGUAGAAUUGCCAUUGAUACUGAUGAUCUUGAGUAUGAUUGAGGUGAGCGGAAUAUGUCAUGUAGCGGUGAAAUGCUUAGAUAUGACAUAGAACACCCAUUGCGAAGGCAGCUCACUACGGGAUCAUUGACACUGAGGCACGAAAGCGUGGGGAUCAAACAGG
rnacentral:rRNA from 1 species